GGGUUGUGAGGUUAAGCGACUAAGCGUACACGGUGGAUGCCCUGGCAGUCAGAGGCGAUGAAGGGCGUGCUAAUCUGCGAUAAGCGCCGGUAAGGUGAUAUGAACCGUUAUAACCGGCGAUACCCGAAUGGGGAAACCCAGUGUGACUCGUCACACUAUCAUUAACUGAAUCCAUAGGUUAAUGAGGCGAACCGGGGGAACUGAAACAUCUAAGUACCCCGAGGAAAAGAAAUCAACCGAGAUUCCCCCAGUAGCGGCGAGCGAACGGGGAGGAGCCCAGAGCCUGAAUCAGCAUAUGUGUUAGUGGAAGCGUCUGGAAAGGCGCGCGAUACAGGGUGACAGCCCCGUACACAAAAGCGCAUGUGCUGUGAGCUCGAUGAGUAGGGCGGGACACGUGGUAUCCUGUCUGAAUAUGGGGGGACCAUCCUCCAAGGCUAAAUACUCCUGACUGACCGAUAGUGAACCAGUACCGUGAGGGAAAGGCGAAAAGAACCCCGGCGAGGGGAGUGAAAAAGAACCUGAAACCGUGUACGUACAAGCAGUGGGAGCACCCUUUGGGGUGUGACUGCGUACCUUUUGUAUAAUGGGUCAGCGACUUAUAUUCUGUAGCAAGGUUAACCGAAUAGGGGAGCCGGAGGGAAACCGAGUCUUAAUUGGGCGUUAAGUUGCAGGGUAUAGACCCGAAACCCGGUGAUCUAGCCAUGGGCAGGUUGAAGGUUGGGUAACACUAACUGGAGGACCGAACCGACUAAUGUUGAAAAAUUAGCGGAUGACCUGUGGCUGGGGGUGAAAGGCCAAUCAAACCGGGAGAUAGCUGGUUCUCCCCGAAAGCUAUUUAGGUAGCGCCUCGUGAAUUCAUCUCCGGGGGUAGAGCACUGUUUCGGCUAGGGGGCCAUCCCGGCUUACCAACCCGAUGCAAACUGCGAAUACCGGAGAAUGUUAUCACGGGAGACACACGGCGGGUGCUAACGUCCGUCGUGAAGAGGGAAACAACCCAGACCGCCAGCUAAGGUCCCAAAGUCAUGGUUAAGUGGGAAACGAUGUGGGAAGGCCCAGACAGCCAGGAUGUUGGCUUAGAAGCAGCCAUCAUUUAAAGAAAGCGUAAUAGCUCACUGGUCGAGUCGGCCUGCGCGGAAGAUGUAACGGGGCUAAACCAUGCACCGAAGCUGCGGCAGCGACGCUGAUGCGUUGUUGGGUAGGGGAGCGUUCUGUAAGCCUGCGAAGGUGGCCUGUGAGGGUUGCUGGAGGUAUCAGAAGUGCGAAUGCUGACAUAAGUAACGAUAAAGCGGGUGAAAAGCCCGCUCGCCGGAAGACCAAGGGUUCCUGUCCAACGUUAAUCGGGGCAGGGUGAGUCGACCCCUAAGGCGAGGCCGAAAGGCGUAGUCGAUGGGAAACGGGUUAAUAUUCCCGUACUUGGUGUUACUGCGAAGGGGGGACGGAGAAGGCUAUGUUGGCCGGGCGACGGUUGUCCCGGUUUAAGCGUGUAGGUGUGUGUUCCAGGUAAAUCCGGUUCACUUUAACACUGAGGCGUGAUGACGAGGCACUACGGUGCUGAAGCAACAAAUGCCCUGCUUCCAGGAAAAGCCUCUAAGCAUCAGGUAACAUCAAAUCGUACCCCAAACCGACACAGGUGAUCAGGUAGAGAAUACCAAGGCGCUUGAGAGAACUCGGGUGAAGGAACUAGGCAAAAUGGUGCCGUAACUUCGGGAGAAGGCACGCUGACAUGUAGGUGAAGUGAUUUACUCAUGGAGCUGAAGUCAGUCGAAGAUACCAGCUGGCUGCAACUGUUUAUUAAAAACACAGCACUGUGCAAACACGAAAGUGGACGUAUACGGUGUGACGCCUGCCCGGUGCCGGAAGGUUAAUUGAUGGGGUCAGCGCAAGCGAAGCUCCUGAUCGAAGCCCCGGUAAACGGCGGCCGUAACUAUAACGGUCCUAAGGUAGCGAAAUUCCUUGUCGGGUAAGUUCCGACCUGCACGAAUGGCGUAAUGAUGGCCAGGCUGUCUCCACCCGAGACUCAGUGAAAUUGAACUCGCUGUGAAGAUGCAGUGUACCCGCGGCAAGACGGAAAGACCCCGUGAACCUUUACUAUAGCUUGACACUGAACAUUGAGCCUUGAUGUGUAGGAUAGGUGGGAGGCUUUGAAGUGUGGACGCCAGUCUGCAUGGAGCCGGCCUUGAAAUACCACCCUUUAAUGUUUGAUGUUCUAACGUGGACCCGUGAUCCGGGUUGCGGACAGUGUCUGGUGGGUAGUUUGACUGGGGCGGUCUCCUCCUAAAGAGUAACGGAGGAGCACGAAGGUUGGCUAAUCCUGGUCGGACAUCAGGAGGUUAGUGCAAUGGCAUAAGCCAGCUUGACUGCGAGCGUGACGGCGCGAGCAGGUGCGAAAGCAGGUCAUAGUGAUCCGGUGGUUCUGAAUGGAAGGGCCAUCGCUCAACGGAUAAAAGGUACUCCGGGGAUAACAGGCUGAUACCGCCCAAGAGUUCAUAUCGACGGCGGUGUUUGGCACCUCGAUGUCGGCUCAUCACAUCCUGGGGCUGAAGUAGGUCCCAAGGGUAUGGCUGUUCGCCAUUUAAAGUGGUACGCGAGCUGGGUUUAGAACGUCGUGAGACAGUUCGGUCCCUAUCUGCCGUGGGCGCUGGAGAACUGAGGGGGGCUGCUCCUAGUACGAGAGGACCGGAGUGGACGCAUCACUGGUGUUCGGGUUGUCAUGCCAAUGGCACUGCCCGGUAGCUAAAUGCGGAAGAGAUAAGUGCUGAAAGCAUCUAAGCACGAAACUUGCCCCGAGAUGAGUUCUCCCUGAGACUUAGAGUCUCCUGAAGGAACGUUGAAGACGACGACGUUGAUAGGCCGGGUGUGUAAGCGCAGCGAUGCGUUGAGCUAACCGGUACUAAUGAACCGUGAGGCUUAACCUUACAACGCCGAAG
rnacentral:rRNA from 1 species